GUGCUUGCUUCGGCAUCACACAUACUAUUAUAAAAUUGGAAUGAUACAGAGAAGACUGGCAUGGUCCCUGCACAAGGAUGACACACAAAUUCAUGAAGCAUUCCAUAUUAAA
ensembl:snRNA U6 U6 spliceosomal RNA